UUGUGGAGGAGGACGCCGAAGGUGGGGCUGAUGACUGGGGUGAAGUCGUAACAAGGUAGCCGUACCGGAAGGUGCGGCUGGAUCACUCCUAACAGGGAGACAAACAAAUGAUCAUGAUGUCUGAGUUUUUUAUUCUUAGGCCUCGAUCCUGUCACCUUAGGUCGAUCGGUACCUCAUAUUGAUUUCUUCAAAAGAGAUUGUGAAUUCAGUCUUUAUUAGAUAUUUGAUAUCAGUUCCUAAACUUGUCUAGGUCACACCCCACAAGGGUACUCCUGGGCCAUUAGCUCAGGUGGUUAGAGCGCACCCCUGAUAAGGGUGAGGUCCCUGGUUCAAGUCCAGGAUGGCCCAUUCGGUGUUGGGGGUAUAGCUCAGUUGGUAGAGCGCCUGCUUUGCAAGCAGGAUGUCAGCGGUUCGAGUCCGCUUACCUCCACUGAUCGAAACUCUUGAUGCGAAAUCAAAGAAGCUUCCUUUGCUAAUUGUGAUUUAGACUAAAAGUUAAUUGAAUGAACCUAGCUUCCUUUCAUUCCUAUACAUAAUUAAUCGAAUUUUGUUUAGGUUGAAAAGAUGCUGGGCUCUCUGAGAUCAUUAGUGAUUUCAGAUAAGUUCAGUAGAACCUUGAAAACUGCAUAGUGAGUCUGGAAAAUAAAAGCAUCUCAUAGAUGUACUAAUUCCAGUAUCUAAGUUUGCGAUUCUGUUUUUACAGUAAUGCAAACAUGGAUACAUCUAUUAGUACUAAUUCUUGAGUAAGAGCCGAGUCUCUAUAAAGCUUUGAUUUAUUUAAAUAGCUAAAUUAUUUAGUCUAUUUAUUUAGAUUAGAAGCUUCUUAUAGAGAUCAAUUGGUCAAGCUACAA
rnacentral:misc_RNA from 1 species